rnacentral:lncRNA from 1 species
CAUGGAGUUGAGCUCUUUUUUGAAAUCUAGAUUCCACAACCUUGAAGUGCUUGAAUAUUAAAACAUUAAUUAUUCAAGAGCCCUCACUGGGUUCUGUCCUGCUUUCAAGCCAUUAUUGGACAUUUUUUUUCUUGUAAUUCUAUAAACCUUUGCGUUUACAGAUGAAAACAUUUUAUAGUGCAAUAGAAUACAUGUGUAAUAUAGAAGAAAAUUCUCUCUGGCUUCUUCGGCACCUAUUUUUGUUAUAUAUCAAAAUGUAUACCUGAUAGUAAUGAUAUAGGCAAAUAAUUGAUUUAUUCCAUUAUUUAUUUUAAAUUUUAUUGUAGUAUAGCUGACAUUGUUGGAUUAGUUUCAGGUGUACAGCAAAGUGAUUCUUUUUUUCCCCGUAUAGGUAAUUUACAGAAUAUUGAGAAGAGUUCCCUGUGCUACAUAGUAGGUUCUCUCCAGGUGUCUGUCUAUACAUAAUAGUGUGUAUAUUCCAGUCCUUUCCCCCCAGUUUAUCCCUCCAUCCCCGUUGUUUCCCCUUUGGUAACCAUAAGUUUAAUUUUGAAAUCUGGAGUUCCCGUCUUUUUAUUUUAUAAACAAGUUCUUUUGCGUCAUUUUGUAUUAGAUUCCACAUGUAAGUGAUAUCAGAUGAUAUUUGCCUUUCUCUGUCUUAGUAUGAAAACCUCUAGGUCCAUCAUAUUGCUGCAUAUGGCCGUGCAAAUAAUUUAGAAAUAUGAUUUUUGAACAAAUACUUAUCAAGUAAUAUGGAAGUAUGUGGGACCAGACUUGGCAAUUGCGGGCACUAUUUCAAGUUCUAAUUAACAUUUCGAUUUAGUUUUGAUGCUGUAGGAAAAGAUUUAUCACGGCACUGUUCAUGCAGAGCUCUUUCAUUAGGAUCAGCUGAAUUAGGAACACAAUUAAAAAUACCUUUUAUAGCGCUUUCUCUCCUACCCUUCUUCCCCUGCCCCCUCUAUGAGUAGCAGUAUUUUAUUGAAAUAAGAGGGCCACUCAGCAUUUGAAGAGUCCCAUGCGAAUUGCUGGUUGAUGUCCUGGGGCCUGUGUCAUCCUUCACAGACUUUCAGGCGCUCUUGGUGUUUCAAGUUUAGAGUCCAAGUUGUUAAGAUAGGAGUUCCUGCUCUAGCGCAACGGGAUCAGUGGCAUCUUGGGGACACUGGGUUGCAGGUUCUAUCUCUGACCUUGGACACUGGGUUAAGGAACUGGCACUGCCAGAACUUUGGUCUAGGUGCAGACUGUGGCUUGGACCUGAUCCCUGGCCCAGGGACUCCAUGUGCCAUGGGGCGGCCAAAAAAAAAAA